AAUUGUUUCAUAUAUUGAAACUUGUUGAUAAUAUAUAAUUUCAAGGCGGCAUAUAUUAGGUUGGAAACUAUGAAACGGGCGUUUUAUGUUUAGUCUGUGUUCAGCUGCGACUGAAAGAGAUACAUUGUAACAUGCGCUCGAUAUUUUAAUUUAUAAAACUUAAAGAUGGAAACAAAACGCGAUUUAUAUCUACUCUUCUUAUACGAGUUUAAAUUAUAUCAUACUGCAGCUCAAGCUUCAAGAAAUAUUAAUCAGGCAUUCGGAGAUGGAUCCACCAAUGAAAAAAAUGCUCGAUAUUGGUUCCAAAAAUUUCGUUCUGACAAUUUGAGUAUCGUUAAUGAGUCUCGAGGAAGACCAUCAGCCCAGAUUGAUAACGAGGAAUUAAGGACGACUGUGGAAUCCGAUCCACACAAUUAGUCGAACACUUGGGUUUAAACUAGGAACUAGUCAUACAGCUGUGUUAAAACAUUUGCGUGCAAUAAAUAAAGUCAAGAAAUUGGACUCAUAUGUGCCGCACGAAUUGACACAACUGCAGAUGAUUGACCGCAAAAGCAAGUGCGCAUCUUUGUUGCUUCGCAAUACACAAUUGCCAUUUUUACACCAAAUCAUCACUUGUGAUGAAAAGUGGAUUUUGUAUGAUAAUCGAAAACGAUCAUGCCAAUGGGUAGAUAAGAAUACACCCCCAGGACACACUCCAAAACCGAAAUUUCAUCAAAAAACAAUUAUGAUCACCAUAUGGUGGAAUGCCCAAGGAGUGAUCCAUUAUUCCUUUCUACAACCAGGCGAAACUAUAACAGAGAUGUCUUAUUGUCGUGAAAUUGAUGUCAUGCAUGAGAAACUUAUGAAAAAACAACCAAUAUUGCUCAAUCGGCACGGCGCAAUAUUACUGUAUGAUAACGCAUGACCACAUAAAGCUUCAAUUACUGUUGACAAAUUAAUUUCUCUACAAUAUGAAAUUUUACCACAUCCUCCAUAUUCACUUGAUAUUUCACCGACCGAUUAUUAUCUUUUUCGUAAUUAUGAAUUAUUUUUAAAAGAAAAAAAUACAAUAACCAAAAUGAUAUUAUAAAAGACUUUGAAUUAUUUAUUAACUCUAAAAAUAAAGAUUUUUUUCAAAAAGGCAUAUAUGAUUUGUCCAAUCGUUGGCAAAACUCGUAGAUGCCAAUGGAAAUUAUUUCAAUUGAAUAUAAUAAAUAAUGUGAAAAAUUG